UACGUAGGUGGCAAGCGAUACUCGGAAUCACUAGGCGUAAAGCGCAGGUAGGCGGUUCGGUAAGUCUUCUGUGAAAGCUCUUGGCUUAACUGGGAGAGGUCAAAGGAAACUACCGGGCUGGAGUGUGGCAGAGGAAACUGGAAUUCCCGGUGUAGCGGUGAAAUGCGUAGAUAUCGGGAGGAAUACCUAUGGCGAAAGCAGGUUUCUGGGCCGUCACUGACGCUGAUCUGCGAAAGCUAGGGGAG
rnacentral:rRNA from 1 species